CUUGUGACCCAGAUGGCUUUAUCUACAUGCCAGUUUCUGCAUAUCCUGUGGAUGUUUACUGAGUCUAAAAGAAUGUUCCUUUUCUACAAGUUUGCUCUUCCAAUUCAUGAAAUGACAAGCCCUUGAAAUCCAUCUUCAGCUGUCUGAUUUUGACUGUGUGCUUGAGGGGCAUAGAGUGAGUGAGUUUUCUGCAUAGAGACCACCCAGGGGUAUCGUGAUCCUCUCUGUCUAUGCCCUGUGGGAAGGGACCAGCUCUUCCCUGCUCUGCAGACCCUCAGCCAUUAGAUCUGGUAGCUCCUUGUCUGCAGAGCUAGAAAAAAACAUCAGGAUAGAGACAAGCUCAAAUCAUGUAAUGUAGGGGAGGCAUCUCUGUGCCAGGUGUGACUGCCUUCCACACAGGCACAUGUGACAGACUGCAUGGCAGGCACCAAGUGUUCUGCUUACAACAGUGAGUGACAUAAACUUGUGGCCUGUCCAUCAACCAGAAAUGCAGUGAACUGGCAAGAAGCUGGAACGAAGUGUCUAGUGGCAGCUGGUCAUAAUCCUGAAAGAAAAUGUCAGAUGAAAAUAAUCCCAAAUAUUGUAAUCCUGACAGAGUGAAGUCCUCAAAGUAUCUCUAAACGUGUAAGACCAUAACUAUGGAAAUCCUGGAAAUUGCAAUUCGAAUUUUAAAAGAAGACUCGUCAAGGAGGAGGAGCCAUGCAUGAAGAGAUGGGCACAUGCUCAGUUGCACUCUGGACAGCUACUCACUGUUAGAAAUGAAUACUAGAAAUAUGAUUUAUUUAUUUUAUCUGCUGUAUGAGUGUUGUCUGUGUACUUCAGUGCCAUAAAGCGUAGUGGGGAUUGAAGCCGGGUCCUCCACAAGAACAAGUGCUUCUAACCACUGAGCCAUCUCUUCAGUCCCUUGAUGACUACUUCUUGGGCGUGUGUACUGUCAACCACUCUUCUAGAAGCAGAAGACAGACCAGUGAGCAAAACGAGGACCAAUGAGAGCACAUGGAAGAUGCGGUGCUUCGAAGUUCUCACCACACACCCUGCUCCCAGGUCCAUCACCAGAUGUAUGAAGAAUUUUUACAGGAAACUGAGAGGAAAGGGGUCUGCCCACCUUAGAGGGCAGAGUAAGAACAGCACACAGGUAGCUGAAUAGCUGCCUUACUUUGCUAAGAUUGUGGUCUAUGAUGUCCGGACAGCUUUCCUGAGCUUGGCACAAAAUGGAGGGCUCCCUCUUCAUAGUGGGGCUUUCCUCUUCUCUGUCUGAUCUGGGGAACCCAACCCAUGGUCUCCCUGGGGAAUGUCACAUAAUCCCUGGUGGAAUCACAGAUUCAACUUCCUGGAAUUCCUCUCCAUGCAAAUGAGGUAUUCCCCAGCACCUUAAGCCUCAGUCAAUGAAACUUCACCCUAAGAAGAACCCCUUCCCACUCCCCAAGGUUCAUAUAUAUAGCUUUUGGUUCACCCCAAAUAAAGUGUAUGUGUACAAGUUCAUCCUCAAUAAAGGUAUGUGCACAAGCUAAGAUCGGCUCAGAGAGCUGUUUCA